rnacentral:rRNA from 1 species
GGGUCAGUAGGCUGGUCGUGCCACCGGUACGUACUGGUCUCACUGAUUCCUCCUUCCUGAAGAACCGUAAUGCCAUUAAUUUGGUGUUGCGGGAAAACAGGACUGUUACUUUGAAAAAAUUAGAGUGUUUAAAGCAAGCUAACGCUUGAAUACAUUAGCAUGGAAUAAUGAAAUAGGACGAUCGAUCCUAUUUCGUUGGUCUCUAGGAUUGACGUA